AUUUGAGAACUUUGAGCAUUUCUUCUCUUUUGACCAAGCUGGGAUCCAUCAAGUCUAUUUUGGAUCCUGUUAAAUAAGGAAGGGCGAUAGGGAUUUCAUACGCGGAAUGAUAGUUCGUAUUAUACCAACAUUCACUGGUAUGGGAUGAGAAUGGAGCCACUUUAAGAUGUCUUGGAGCAGGUCUAUAGUAUUGCCUAUGACCAAUCUUCCCUUUCUUCUUAGCUCAUCAACAGUCCAUGCAGCGUGGAUGAGAAUAAAGGUUGGCUUGUAAUUCCUGGACUAGGUGUCGUAAAUUAACAUCAUUUAAGUAAGCAUGAUGUAUUUUCUGAAACAUCAUUUAAGUAAGCAUGAUGUAUUUUCUGAAGCAUAUCUGGCUGGAAUUAUGGACCACAAACUGGGCGCCUUCUAUAUUAGAGCGUCGUGAAACAAUAUAAAAACUUCCUUAAGAACGGUUGAAAAACCGAAUUCAUGAGGGAUUAGAAGGUAGAUGAUACAUUUGUGAGGCCUUUUGAAAUAAUUAGUAAAUCUACGUAAUCGUUAUGUCUAAGUUAGGGUUGAGUGUUAGAUAAUCUUUGUACCUAGUUCUUUAGGACAAUGCUUUUGAUGUUUCAUCUCUCUAUUGUAUCAAACUUCAAAUAUAUGUAAAUAGAGAACCGUGAGGAGGGUUCUUCAAGCCCUCUAGAAAUAUAUCUGUUUCAAUAUACUACAAUCAGGUGCGUGUUGCUCACGCGCCUCCUUCCGAUGAUCGAUUAUCCUUUGUUCAAUCAUCAUUUGACUUCGCAUAUCACAUUGACUCCAUAUAUGCCCUUCUUUCUGAUUUGGUAGUCAUUUGGUUGGGUAUUCUAUGGCUUUCUAUCUCUUAAAACCCUAACUUUGCAAGCCACUGAAUCUCACCACCGUUGGUCCACUGGGUCUUCUCCUAUGUCUCGUGAGUUUCAAACUAGGGCAAGCAAUUGGGAAAUCCCAAUUUCUUUAUAUUUUCGUUUUGUAAUGGUGAAGCUACAAGUUGCUUCUUCGUCACCCUCUUUGUGGCACUUAAGCACAACCAACUGCUCUUCGUUCUAGUGUGGAGCCAAUCCAGGGAGGCACAUCCUCCAUGGCAAAACAAAGAAGAGAUUUGCCGCAAAGGGUAUUUCGCAAUUCGUCACAACAGUGGUGGCCGUCAUGGUGACCUUUGUUGUUGUUUUGGUUUUCUUACAGCCCACUUUGGAUCACCCUGACCUAAAAAAUCACAAGAUUUAGAUGAAACCAAAUUUCCACCCUGAAGGGCCCCUCUCUUACUCAACCCUGUCAUAGGUGUUGAUGAAGCCUCUUAUUAACACCUCAUUUUGUUUGAACUCAUUUUAGAAAACAAAAUGAAGGUCUUUCCCUUUAUUGGCUUCUGUUGGAUUCAUCGGUCAAGCCUCCAAUUUUGUCGAACCUUCACAUCACUUGUGGAAGAGUCUUUUGAAAAGCCAGAUCUUCCACCUUGACAAUCUGUCAUCAACAUGCCAUCAUUUCUGUCGAUCACCGUGAGGGGGAGUCUGAUCCUGUUUCUAGGUGACUUGAUAAAUAAAGGACCAUUCUUUUGAAAAGCCAGAUCUUCCACUUUCACGCUGUCUUCAGUGCACCAUCAUUUUUGUCUUUCUUUCGCCGUGAGAGAGGAGUCUAUUAUGUUUUUGAGUGCUUUGAUGAAUACAAGACCAAGUGCCUUUAUUAGCAUUCUAGUCCCUGUAGUCUAUCAUUUUCAACCACUGCAAACCACCAUCCCUUAUUGAUGACAAUCUAGUCCACUAC
rnacentral:lncRNA from 1 species